rnacentral:rRNA from 1 species
GAUGAACGCUGGCGGCGUGCCUAACACAUGCAAGUCGAGCGAACGCACCGGAAGCUGGCGCCCCUGAUGUUGGCGGGGGACGGGAGAGUAACACGUGGAUAACCUACCUAUAAGACUGGGGUAACAUCGCCGGACCGUAGCUACUACCGGAAGAUUUAUUGAACUGCAUGGGUCAAGAGUGAAAGACGGUCGUUCUGACACUUAUAGAUGGACCAGCGCUGCAUUAGCUAGUUGGUAAGGUAACGGCUUACCAAGGCAACGAUGCAUAGCCGCCCCGAGAGGGUGAUCCGCCACCCUGGAACUGAGGAUGGGCCCCCACUCCUGCGCGGGGCAGCGGUCGGGAAUCUUCCGGGAUGGACGAAUGCGUAAUGGUGCAACGCCGCGUGAGUGCUGAAGGUCUUCGGAUCGUAAAGCUCUGUUAUUAGGGAAGAACAAAUGUGUAAGUAACUGUGCUCAUCUUGACGGUACCUAGUCAGAAAGCCCCGGCUAACUCCGUG